AAAUAUGCAAACAAAAUAGAAGAAACAAAUGUAUAUAGGAUAUUGAUAUUAUAUUAUAUAUUCCUAGGUUAGAUUCAUUAUCUAAUCCGAUAUAUGGAUAUAGAAUUCCCUUCUAUGUAGUUCGGACAAUUCACAUUUCAAUUUGAUUUCAAUUUGUACUUUUUAGUUACUUUACUUCUCCCCAAUAGAGCUUAGAAGUAAGAAUUUUUUGGUUGAUUGUAUCCUUAACCAUUUCUUUUUUUUUGACACGAGGAACUACUCACCAUGAAUCCACUAAUUGCUGCUGCUUCUGUUAUUGCUGCUGGAUUGGCCGUAGGGCUUGCUUCUAUUGGACCUGGAGUUGGUCAAGGUACUGCUGCAGGACAAGCUGUAGAAGGUAUUGCGAGACAGCCAGAAGCAGAAGGUAAAAUACGAGGUACUUUAUUGCUUAGUCUAGCUUUUAUGGAAGCUUUAACAAUUUAUGGACUAGUUGUGGCACUAGCGCUUUUAUUUGCGAACCCUUUUGUUUAAUCCUAAAAAAAAAAGUUCUUUCGAUUUCGAUUAGAUACUUUUUUCUUUUUUUAGUAAAUUGGUAUUUGCUUCCGCAAUUCCAAUUAUAUCAAUACUUUAUUUAAUUUACUCCUAUUUAUUACUCCUGGAAUUAUCUAUUUAUCGGGACAGAUAAUACCGCAUUCUAGGAAGGGCUGAGUUGAGUAUGAUUAAUUUAGAAGAUAUGCUCGCCUUCUUAUUUCCCGUCCUUAGUUUAGGAAAGUGGAAAGUUUUUUCCUUUUAUUUUAGGAAUUUUGGGAACGGAACAUUUCAACAAAGGAAGCCUUUCACCGGUCAAACAAGACCUAAGACUUAAUCUAAAAGAAAUUACUAGAUUGAAUCUAUUUGCAUUAAAAAAACCGAUCAAAAAAGGGCGAGCGAAGUAAGUGAUCGAAAAACUUUGUUCUUUGUUCGUCCUAUCUAUAAGAGGAGAGCAUAUGAAAAAUGUAACCCAUUCUUUCGUUUUUUUAGCUCACUGGCCAUCCGCUGGCAGUUUCGGGCUUAAUACCGAUAUUUUAGCAACAAAUCUAAUAAAUCUAACUGUAGUGGUUGGUGUUUUGAUUUUUUUUGGAAAGGGAGUGUGUGCGAGUUGUCUAUUUCAAGAAUAGAUUGGAUCUAUCCGGCUGCACUUUAGAAUAUUUUUUAGUAUUUUUCGGAUAAAUAAGAAAAGGGUGCACGAUCUCGACGAAUUACUUCUGAAUAAAUUCAGAAAUCAUAUGGAAGAACCAUAGCAUUUCGCGACUCAUUGGUAAAUCAAUUUUGAUUCUCUAUAAACCAAGAAUGUGAGACCAUUAACACGGUUAAAGCUAAACUGCUUGAAGUCCAGGCAAAAAGAGGUACUCUUUCUACAACUAUAUUAGUAUUAGUACCGAAUUUAAACGGGAAAUAGCUAAUGUAAAAUUUAUCUGAUAUAGAACACUCAUAUCGAUAAAAUGGUUUGAACUAUUUACUAGAAAAAAAAAGAAGGGGCACCCUGCCCUUUUUUAACCAAUGCCGAAUCGACGACCUAUGUAUAAAAAAGAGAAAUUUUUUGGAUUUGAAGAAAAAAAAAAAAGAAUUCUAUUAAUUUUCAUUUUCCAUUUAUUUAGUUAGUUUUUCUUAAUGAAAUUGAAAUUAUUAACUAAAGGGCAAAUAUAAAUAAAGAAACAACUUUGCUGACCAUGAUAUAUUUUUAUCUAGGCGGAAGAGUCCUCUUAAUAUUUAUCUAGUCUUAUAUAGGUUUCGGUAUAUUGAAAUAUAAACAUAAAAAAUAAGAUAGAGGAUAGGCUCAUUACUUAUACUUAAAAAAAGAUAUGGAAAUUGCUAUAGCAAAAAAAGAAAAAAAGGAGCGUGAGAGCCAAAUGAAUCGAAAGAUUCAUGUUUGGUUCGGGAAGAGAUCAUAAAAGUUGUAAACUUACAAAAUAAUCUACUUUCAUUAAAAGAUUUAUUAGAUAAUCGAAAACAGAGGAUCUUGAGUACUAUUCGAAAUUCAGAAGAAUUGCGUAGAGGGACCAUUGAGCAACUCGAAAAAGCUCGGAUUCGAUUACAGAAAGUCGAACUAGAAGCGGAUGAGUAUCGAAUGAAUGGAUACUCUGAGAUAGAACGAGAAAAAGCAAAUUUGAUUAAUGCUACUUCUAUUAGUUUGGAACAAUUAGAAAAGUCUAAAAACGAAACCCUUUAUUUUGAAAAACAAAGGGCAAUGAAUCAGGUCCGACAGCGGGUUUUCCAACAGGCCGUACAAGGAGCUCUAGGAACUCUGAAUAGUUGUUUGAAUACCGAGUUACAUUUCCGUACGAUUCGUGCUAAUAUUGGCAUUCUCGGGUCCCUGGAAUGGAAGAGAUAAUUAAAUUAAUUAGGCCUUGAACUUCUACUUUCGUUUAGAAUUUAGGCAUUAUUUUUCCCCUUGCUUUCGAAAAAAGAGUCAAGAAACACUAAUGGCAACCCUUCGAGUCGACGAAAUUCAUAAAAUUCUCCGCGAACGUAUUGAACAAUAUAAUAGGAAAGUAGGGAUUGAGAAUAUAGGUCGCGUAGUUCAAGUGGGGGAUGGGAUUGCUCGUAUUAUAGGUCUUGGUGAAAUAAUGUCGGGUGAAUUAGUCCAAUUUGCAGAAGGUACUAGGGGUAUUGCUCUGAAUUUGGAAUCCAAAAAUGUUGGGAUUGUAUUAAUGGGCGAUGGGUUGAUGAUACAAGAGGGCAGUUUUGUAAAAGCAACAGGAAGAAUUGCUCAGAUACCCGUGAGUGAGGCUUACUUGGGUCGUGUUGUAAAUGCUCUGGCUAAACCUAUUGAUGGGAAAGGCGAAAUUAUAGCUUCCGAAUCUCGCUUAAUUGAAUCUCCUGCUCCAAGUAUAAUUUCCAGGCGUUCCGUAUACGAACCUCUUCAAACAGGGCUUAUUGCUAUCGAUUCGAUGAUUCCUAUAGGGCGCGGUCAGCGAGAGUUAAUUAUUGGGGACAGACAGACUGGCAAACAGCAGUAGCUACAGAUACAAUUCUCAAUCAAAAAGGGCAAGGUGUAAUAUGUGUUUAUGUAGCUAUCGGUCAAAGAGCAUCCUCCGUAGCUCAAGUAGUAACUACUUUCCAUGAGGAGGGGGGCCAUGGAAUACACUAUUGUAGUAGCUGAAAUGGCGGAUUCACCUGCUACAUUACAAUACCUCGCUCCUUAUACGGGAGCAGCCCUGGCUGAGUAUUUUAUGUACCGCGAACGGCAUACUUUAAUAAUUUAUGAUGAUCUCUCCAAACAGGCACAAGCUUAUCGCCAAAUGUCCCUUCUAUUAAGAAGACCUCCCGGCCGUGAGGCUUAUCCAGGGGAUGUUUUUUAUUUGCAUUCACGCCUUUUAGAAAGAGCCGCUAAAUUAAAUUCUCUUUUAGGCGAAGGAAGUAUGACCGCUUUACCAAUAGUUGAGACUCAAUCUGGAGACGUUUCCGCCUAUAUUCCUACUAAUGUAAUCUCCAUUACAGAUGGACAAAUAUUCUUAUCGGCGGAUCUAUUCAAUGCCGGAAUUCGACCCGCUAUUAAUGUGGGUAUUUCUGUUUCCAGAGUAGGAUCCGCGGCUCAAAUUAAAGCCAUGAAACAAGUAGCUGGCAAAUCAAAAUUGGAACUAGCUCAAUUCGCAGAGUUACAAGCCUUUGCACAAUUCGCCUCUGCUCUCGAUAAAACAAGUCAGAAUCAAUUGGCAAGGGGUCGACGAUUAAGGGAAUUGCUUAAACAAUCCCAGGCAAAUCCUCUCCCAGUGGAAGAGCAGAUAGCUACUAUUUAUACCGGAACAAGAGGAUAUCUUGAUUCGUUAGAAAUCGAACAGGUAAAUAAAUUUCUGGAUGAGUUACGUAAACACCUAAAAGAUACUAAACCUCAAUUCCAAGAAAUUAUAUCUUCUAGCAAGACAUUCACCGAGCAAGCGGAAAUCCUUUUGAAGGAAGCUAUUCAGGAACAGCUGGAACGGUUUUCCCUUCAGUAACAAAUAAAUUUGGCAUAUCUACUCUUGUUAUUUUGCAUGUCUACUCUUGUUAUUUGAAUCAUGCAAAAAAGUUUUCUUUGUUUUUAGUUUAGUAUAGUUAUUUAAA